AUACGUAGGGGGCGAGCGUUGUCCGGAUUUACUGGGCGUAAAGGGUGAGUAGGCGGUUGCAUAUGUCAGAUGUAAAAGGCACAGGCUUAACUUGUGUUAGCAUUUGAAACUGUGCGACUUGAGUGCAGGAGAGGUAAGUGGAAUUCCUAGUGUAGCGGUGAAAUGCGUAGAUAUUAGGAGGAACACCAGUGGCGAAGGCGACUUACUGGACUGUAACUGACGCUGAGUCACGAAAGCGUGGGUAGCAAACAGGAUUAGAUACCCUGGUAGUCCACGCUGUAAACGAUGAGUGCUAGGUGUUGGCCAGCGAUGGUCAGUGCCGCAGUAAACACAUUAAGCACUCCGCCUGGGGAGUACGGUCGCAAGACUGAA
rnacentral:rRNA from 1 species